GAGUAGAGAUCCUGAUAGGCCGCUACGGAACUGAGACACGGUCCCUAGUCCCAGAGUAGGCAGCAAUAGGGCAUUGUGCACAAUGGGUCCAAGCGUGCAGGCGCAACCCAGCCAGAGUGAAGAAGGGAUUAGGCUCGUAAAGGUUGUAAGUUGGUGAAGCAGGGAGAGAAGAGUAAGCGUUCAUGCAGUGACGGUAUCCAACCAGAAAGUCAGCAUUAACUAAGUCCCAGCAGGCAGGGUAAUUAAUAGGGGGCAAGCGUUAUCUAUCUUUAUUCGGUGUAAAUAAAGGGCAGGUGGUUGGUUAGGUAAGUCAUGAAAGCAUUCGGCUUAAUUGAAGAAGUGCAUCGGAAACCGGGCAAUAGUAGUGCAGAAGAGGACAGUGGAACUCCAUGUAAGCGGUGGAAUGCGUAGAUAUAUGGAAGAACACCAGUGAAGAAGUAGGCUGUCUUGGUUGAGCAAGACACGAUGAGGCUCGAAAGCAUCGUAGCGAUCCAGGAUUAGAUAGACAUGGUAGUUACUUGACGUAAGUAAAUGAAUGAUAGGUGUUGGAGGGUUUCCCCCUUUCAGCGCCGGAGCAAA
rnacentral:rRNA from 1 species